AGUGAACGCUGGCGGCAGGCCUAACACAUGCAAGUCGAACGGCAGCACAGCAGUAGCAAUACUGUGGGUGGCGAGUGGCGGACGGGUGAGGAAUGCAUCGGAAUCUGCCCAGUCGUGGGGGAUAACGUAGGGAAACUUACGCUAAUACCGCAUACGACCGAGAGGUGAAAGCGGGGGAUCGCAAGACCUCGCGCGAUUGGAUGAGCCGAUGCCGGAUUAGCUAGUUGGCGGGGUAAAAGCCCACCAAGGCGACGAUCCGUAGCUGGUCUGAGAGGAUGAUCGGCCACACUGGAACUGGGACACGGUCCAGACUCCUACGGGAGGAAGCAGUGGGGAAUAUUGGACAAUGGGCGCAAGCCUGAUCCAGCCAUGCCGCGUGGGUGAAGAAGGCCUUCGGGUUGUAAAGCCCUUUUGUCCGGAAAGAAAAGCUUCGGGUUAAUAACCCGGGGUCAUGACGGUACCGGAAGAAUAAGCACCGGCUAACUUCGUGCCAGCCGCCGCCGUAAGAC
rnacentral:rRNA from 1 species